rnacentral:rRNA from 1 species
AUUGAACGCUGGCGGCAGGCCUAACACAUGCAAGUCGAACGAGUGGCGGACGGGUGAGUAAUGUCUGGGAAACUGCCCGAUGGAGGGGGAUAACUACUGGAAACGGUAGCUAAUACCGCAUACCAUCGGAUGUGCCCAGCUGGGAUUAGCUAGUAGGGGGGGUAACGGCUCACCUAGGCGACGAUCCCUAGCUGUUCUGCGAGGAUGACCAGCCACACUGGAACUGAGCCACGGGCCAGAGUCCUAGGGGAGGCAGGAGUGGGGAAUAUUGGACAAGGGGGGGAAGCCUGAUGCAGCCAUGCCGCGUGUAUGAAGAAGGCCUUCGAGUUGUAAAGUACUUUCAGCUAGGAGGCGUUACUCGCAGAAGAAGCACCAGCUAACUCCGUGCCAGCAGCCGCGUAAUAC